rnacentral:tRNA from 1 species
GCCGGGGUAGCUCAGCCUGGUUAGAGCACUAGACUCAUAAUCUAGGUGUCAAGGGUUCGAAUCCCUUCCUCGGCA